rnacentral:lncRNA from 1 species
UUUCGCUCUUGUUCCCCAGGCUGAAGUGCAGUAGCAUGAUCUCGGCUCACUGCAACUUCUGCCUCCUGCGUUCAAGAGAUCCUCCUGCCUCAGCCUCCCGAGUAGCUGGGAUUACCGGCACAUGCCACCAACGCCUUGCUAAGUUUUGUAUUUUUGGUAGAGAUGGGGUUUCACCAUGUUGACCAGGUUGGUCUUGAACUCCUGACCUCAGGUGAUCCGCCUGCCUCGGCCUCCCAAAGGGCUGGGAUUACAGGCAUGAGCCACUGUGCCCAGCCUGCAGCAGCUUAAUUUUACAGUGUCCCUUUUCUCCUUCUGGAAACUAUAUGGAGCAACAACAAGACUGAGGAGGAGGAGGAGGAGGAGGAGGAAGAGAAGGAGGAGGAGCAGGAAAAAGCCCAUCAUCAACACACACAUCAAACUCAACUUCAGAGAAAUUAGGAAGCUGGGAAGCCACGUAAACCCAAAAGCAGGAGACACCAGCAGAACCAACGCAGGAAGCCAGGGAAGUGCAGAAGAACAGGGCAUGGGGGGCAACCCAGGGGGGAAAUCUUCACUGUUGCCAGCAACACACACUCCCAGCAGGAGAGGACCCUCAGAGUGAGAAUGCAGAGCUGGAGAAGUGAAGAAGGAGCAGGUGGUGCCCGGGGAAGUCCAGCGGUGUGGUAUCUGAGAGCACUCCUUCCCAAGAGAGGCUGGAGCACUUGAGAAGGCAAGGCUGAGUCCCCGGAGGCUGUAUCCGGGAAAGGAGGCUGGCAGUAGAAUCUUCCUGAAGCCAAGUGGGUUCUGAGAGGCAGAGGGGCAGUGGUACAGAGGUGAGGCUGACGCUUCUGUGCAGGAAGGGCAGGCUCCUGAGGAAGGGAGACCUGAAUGCUCUCCACUAGAUUCCCAGGGAGCCCCACUCCCUCCACAGGACCUCGCGCUGACAUCUGGGAAAUGCCAUUCAUACUGGAACCUCCGACACACUGCCAUGAAUGUGAGGGUUUCGUGACUGAUGGGGAGACUGCAGUCAAAUAAAACAGAUACUACACGCACUCGUCGGGGCAGCCGUACUGCAGAAGCACGUUGAUGCACUCCUGGCUGGAGGCCUGCCGGGCGUAGGUCAGCGCUGUGUUCCCGUGGGCAUCUCGGGCCAUGACGUCCACC